ACGGGUAGCAAUACCGCUGACGAGUGGCGCACGGGUGCGUAACGCGUAUGCAACCUACCUGUAACAGAGGGAUAGCCCUGAGAAAUUGGGAUUAAUACCUCAUAGAAUUGUAGAAUCGCAUGAUUUAGCAAUUAAAGAUUUAUCGGUUACAGAUGGGCAUGCGUAACAUUAGCUAGUUGGUGAGGUAACGGCUCACCAAGGCGACGAUGUUUAGGGGUUCUGAGAGGAUAAUCCCCCACACUGGUACUGAGACACGGACCAGACUCCUACGGGAGGCAGCAGUGAGGAAUAUUGGUCAAUGGACGCAAGUCUGAACCAGCCAUGCCGCGUGCAGGAAUGACGGCCCUACGGGUUGUAAACUGCUUUUGUAAGGGAAGAAACCCAGAUUCGUGAAUUUGGCUGACGGUACCUUACGAAUAAGCAUCGGCUAACUCCGUGCCAGCAGCCGCGGUAAUACGGAGGAUGCAAGCGUUAUCCGGAUUUAUUGGGUUUAAAGGGUGCGCAGGCGGCUUUAUAAGUCAGUGGUGAAAUCUUCCCGCUCAACGGGAAAACUGCCAUUGAUACUGUAGAGCUAGAGUACAGAUGGGGUAGGCGGAAUGUAGCAUGUAGCGGUGAAAUGCUUAGAUAUGCUACAGAACACCGAUCGCGAAGGCAGCUUACCAAGCUGGUACUGACGCUCAGGCACGAAAGCGUGGGUAGCGAACAGGAUUAGAUACCCUGGUAGUCCACGCCGUANACGAUGAUUACUAGCUGUUGGCGAUAAACUGUCAGUGGCUAAGCGAAAGUGAUAAGUAAUCCACCUGGGGAGUACGAUCGC
rnacentral:rRNA from 1 species